rnacentral:rRNA from 1 species
GACGUAGGGCGCGAGCGUUGUCCGGAUUUAUUGGGCGUAAAGAGCUCGUAGGCGGCUUGUCGCGUCGACUGUGAAAACCCGGGGCUUAACUUCGGGCUGGCAGUCGAUACGGGCGGGCUGGAGUUCGGUAGGGGAGACUGGAAUUCCUGGUGUAGCGGUGAAAUGCGCAGAUAUCAGGAGGAACACCGGUGGCGAAGGCGGGUCUCUGGGCCGAUACUGACGCUGAGGAGCGAAAGCGUGGGGAGCAAACAGG